rnacentral:rRNA from 1 species
GUGGAUCAGUGGCGAACGGGUGAGUAACACGUGAGCAAUCUGCCCCUGACUCUGGGAUAAGCGCUGGAAACGGCGUCUAAUACCGGAUACGAGCUGYGACCGCAUGGUCAGUAGCUGGAAAGAAUUUCGGUCAGGGAUGAGCUCGCGGCCUAUCAGCUUGUUGGUGAGGUAAUGGCUCACCAAGKCGUAACAGGGUAGCCGUACUGAGAGGGUGACCGGCCACACUGGGACUGAGACACGGCCCAGACUAMUACGGGAGGCAGCAGUGGGGAAUAUUGCACAAUGGGCGCAAGCCUGAUGCAGCAACGCCGCGUGAGGGAUGACGGCCUUCGGGUUGUAAACCUCUUUUAGCAGGGAAGAAGCGAAAGUGACGGUACCUGCAGAAAAAGCGCCGGCUAACUACGUGCCAGCAGCCGCGGUAAUACGUAGGGCGCAAGCGUUAUCCGGAAUUAUUGGGCGUAAAGAGCUCGUAGGCGGUCUGUCGCGUCUGCUGUGAAAACCCGAGGCUCAACCUCGGGCCUGCAGUGGGUACGGGCAGACUAGAGUGCGGUAGGGGAGAUUGGAAUUCCUGGUGUAGCGGUGGAAUGCGCAGAUAUCAGGAGGAACACCGAUGGCGAAGGCAGAUCUCUGGGCCGUAACUGACGCUGAGGAGCGAAAGGGUGGGGAGCAAACAGGCUUAGAUACCCUGGUAGUCCACCCCGUAAACGUUGGGAACUAGUUGUGGGGUCCAUUCCACGGAUUCCGUGACGCAGCUAACGCAUUAAGUUCCCCGCCUGGGGAGUACGGCCGCAAGGCUAAAACUCAAAGGAAUUGACGGGGACCCGCACAAGCGGCGGAGCAUGCGGAUUAAUUCGAUGCAACGCGAAGAACCUUACCAAGGCUUGACAUAUAGAGGAAACGUCUGGAAACAGUCGCCCCGCAAGGUCUCUAUACAGGUGGUGCAUGGUUGUCGUCAGCUCGUGUCGUGAGAUGUUGGGUUAAGUCCCGCAACGAGCGCAACCCUCGUUCUAYGUUGCCAGCACGUAAUGGUGGGAACUCAUGGGAUACUGCCGGGGUCAACUCGCAGGAAGGUGGGGAUGACGUCAAAUCAUCAUGCCCCUUAUGUCUUGGGCUUCACGCACUAGAGUUUGAUCCUGGCUCAGGAUGAACGCUGGCGGCGUGCUUAACACAUGCAAGUCGAACGGUGAAGCAGAGCUUGCUCUGUGGAUCAGUGGCGAACGGGUGAGUAACACGUGAGCAAUCUGCCCCUGACUCUGGGAUAAGCGMUGGA